GAUGCUGUAGAUGGUCUAAACAUUCAAAGGAUAUUGAGUUCUUAAUAUAUAAACCCACACCUCCAUGACAGCCCACUGAACGGUUUUUGAAGAUGAAAUUAUAUCCAUCUAUAUAAAGACACGAUUCGUCAAUUAAUCCAUGGAGCCAAGUUUCGGUGAUACAAGCAGCGUCUGGAUUGUGAAUUUUCAUAAAACAAGAGACUUCGUCAAUUUUAGGGGUGAGUGACAUGGUGUUUGUGAGUAAUAUUUUGGGCACGAACGUCUUUAUGUUCUCAUUUUGGGUUUUAAAUGAGACAGUAAUUAAAUUACCGUGUGUUCUUGAGGGUAUUUUAUAAGAUUUGUUAAAACUUCUGUUUGUGAUUCUAACCGUUAUGUUUUGUAGGUUUUCCUGAUAAGGGGGAGAUGUCAUGAGUUUAUGAUCGUGGAUGUUCAGUAUGUCAGCGGGGGCCAAGUAAGAGCAUUCAUCAGUGGGGGGGGGGGGGAGGAGGAAUCAUAGGCCAGGGGGAAUGGGACAAAAAAGGUGACCUUGUGUUGUGUCUCGUAUCUGGUUGUUUUCUCGUAUCAAGUGUUUUAAACAUAAGACCAUGCAAGUUUAAGUUUUUGUCGUCUUAAUGACAAGUUAUCCCAACGCAGACUAUCUAAU